UACACACCGCCCGUCACACCACGAAAGUGGGUUACACCAGAAUCGGUGCGCCAACCGCAGGGGCAGCGCCAAGGUAUGACUCAUGAUUGGGGUG
rnacentral:rRNA from 1 species